AUGGCGCCAUCGGGUAUCAGGUUUGAGGUGGAGAAGUUUAACAGAACUGGAAGCUUUGGGUUAUGGCAGACAAGGGUGAAAGAUUUGUUGGCACAACAGGGAUGCUUGAAGGCGUUGUUGCAGGAAGCCAAGCCAACUAAGAUGGAGGCUGAUGACUGGCAGGAGUUACAAUUGAAAGCAGCCGGGACUAUACGGUUGUGUCUGUCGGACCAGGUUAUUUAUCAUGUGAUGGAUGAGAAUUCGCCGAGGAACAUCUGGGAGAAGCUGGAAAGUCAGUUUAAGUCCAAGACUGCGACGACCAAGGUGUAUCUGAAGCAAAAGUUGUAUGGGAUGAGGAUGCAGGAGGGGUCAGAUCUUGUGGAGUAUAUGAACGCCUUUAAUCAAGUCGUGACGGAUCUAGCACGCUUGGGUGCGACGGUUGACGACGAGGAUAGGGCAAUUCUGCUUCUUUGUUCAUUGCCAUCAUCCUAUGACCAUUUGAUCACUACUUUGACGCACGGCAAGGAGACCGUCAAGAAUGAGGAUAUUACUGCGGCAUUGCUAUCUUAUGAUAUGAGAAAGAAGAACGCGGUGGAAGUCUCUCAUGGUGAAGGUUUGCUAGUCAAGGGUGAGUAG
rnacentral:rRNA from 1 species